CAACCCGGCACAUCCCGGCCAUGGCCUCGAGCUCCCUCCCGCUCCUCGCCCUCCUGGCCCUGCUGGCCCUGCCAGGGCUCCGGGCGGCCGUGACCCUGCUGGAGUCCGGGGGGGACCUCCAGCCCCCCGGGGGGUCCCUGACUCUGCUCUGCCGCGGAUCUGGGUUCAAUUUUGGAAACCACGACAUGUACUGGAUCCGCCAGAGACCCGGGAAGGCGCUGGAAUGGCUCGCAGGGAUCAGCUACGGUGGUGGCCUCACCUUCUACGCGCCGUCAGUGCAGGGCCGGUUCAGGAUCUCCAGGGACAACGGGCAGAGCUCGGUGACGCUGACCAUGAACAACCUCAAGGACGAGGAUUCCGGCGCCUAUUUCUGUGCCAGGUGUUACAGUUUUGGUUGUGGUGCUGCUGCUGCUUGGGCUGGUGGUGAUGACCUUGGUGGUUUUGGCCCCAUGUCCAAUCUCCACCUUUCUCCGUGACUCAGACCCUUCCUCCCUUCACUCCUUUAUUUGUUUGGGUUCUGGGGAAAUUUGGGAUGACCUCACCCAAUUGGGUCCUUCUAUGAAACUGAUUCCAACAGAUUGAGACUGACUGGAGCCGUUCAUCCCCCCA